rnacentral:rRNA from 1 species
UACAGAGGUCUCAACCGUUGUUCGGAUUCAUUGGGCGUAAAGGGCGCGUAGGCGGUCGCGCAAGUCGGAUGUGAAAUCUCAGGGCUCAACCCUGAAACUGCAUUCGAUACUGCGUGGCUAGAGUGCUGGAGAGGAGACUGGAAUUUACGGUGUAGCAGUGAAAUGCGUAGAUAUCGUAAGGAAGACCAGUGGCGAAGGCGAGUCUCUGGACAGCAACUGACGCUGAGGCACGAAGGCCAGGGGAGCAAACGGG